rnacentral:rRNA from 1 species
CCUACGGGGGGCAGCAGUGGGGAAUAUUGCACAAUGGGGGAAACCCUGAUGCAGCGACGCCGCGUGAAGGAAGAAGGUUUUCGGUUCGUAAACUUUAACUAGCUGGGAAUAAGCAAUUGAAUUUACCCGAUAAACAAUCCCCGGCUAAUUACAGGCCAGCAGCGGCGGCAUUACGCGGGGGGCAGGCGUAACCCGGAUCAACUGGGUGUAACGGAUGUGCAGGCGGUAGAGCAAGUCAGAUGUGAAAGCCCGGGGCUCAACCCCGGGAUUGCAUUUGAAACUGUCUUACUAGAGUGCAGGAGAGGAAAGCGGAAUUCCUAGUGUAGCGGUGAAAUGCGUAGAUAUUAGGAAGAACACCAGGGGCGAAGGCGGCUUUCUGGACUGUAACUGACGCUGAGGCACGAAAGCGUGGGGAGCGAACAGGAUUAGAUACACGUGUAGUC